UACGUAGGGCGCAAGCGUUAUCCGGAAUUAUUGGGCGUAAAGAGCUCGUAGGCGGUUUGUCGCGUCUGCCGUGAAAGUCCGGGGCUCAACUCCGGAUCUGCGGUGGGUACGGGCAGACUAGAGUGAUGUAGGGGAGACUGGAAUUCCUGGUGUAGCGGUGAAAUGCGCAGAUAUCAGGAGGAACACCGAGUGGCGAAGGCAGGUCGACUGGGCCACUACUGACGCUGAGGAGCGAAAGCAUGGGGAGCGAACAGG
rnacentral:rRNA from 1 species